UGAAUCAGGCACUCGGGCACCAGCUGACCCGCAGGAGGGACCUUCCAAAGGUCCAGCGAGCUCGGACCAACUGCUGUAGACGUGCAUCCGAGAGCCACCACAGGGCAUUCCCCGCUUCCCGUUCUUCCCCAUUUUGAUGUAGGGUUCCUUGGUUCACAACGGUUAUCUCCUUUGUAAUUAAACCUGUAUAGAUGCUCUGAAAUUGCCCUGGGACGUCUUUUAACUGUUGGAACUUACUUAUUUUUGUGUACUGGCAGUUGGUGUAUAUAUUUAAGUACUUGUUGACAGGUGUAAAUUUUGGGAACGUUCAAUUUACAGCGGAGACUCUGCCGAAUUUUCGGUAGAAGUCAGGAUUUAAGGGAAUUAAGUUUUUAAUCAAAAAAAAA